UACGGAGGGUGCGAGCGUUGUUCGGAAUUACUGGGCGUAAAGGGCGCGUAGGCGGCCCGCUAAGUCGAACGUGAAAUCCCCAGGCUCAACCUGGGAACUGCGUCCGAUACUGGCAGGCUUGAAUCCGGGAGAGGGAUGUGGAAUUCCAGGUGUAGCGGUGAAAUGCGUAGAUAUCUGGAGGAACACCGGUGGCGAAGGCGGCAUCCUGGACCGGUAUUGACGCUGAGGCGCGAAAGCUAGGGGAGCAAACGGGG
rnacentral:rRNA from 1 species